CAACCUCAUCACAAACAACUUUCGACUUUGAGGUUAUAUCGUGUUUAUUUUCAAUAAUUAUUUUCCAAUGAAAAUGAGUGGAAAACAAGAUAAAUCAAGUUAAAAACCACGUUUAAGAAAAAUCGAAACGCCCGGCGUAACUCAAAAGUGUCUAGUUUUAGUUUUAUUUCGACGCAUUUUCCAUCCAAGUUAGGUUUGAUCCUCGUUUUUAACUCCGUAGGUAAUAAUCGCCCAACAUGUUUCACUUUCAAUCGCUUCUUGUUCGCGAUUAAUCUCCAGGAUAUUUGAACUUAAUUCUAUGUAUAGAUUGAAAAUAAUCAACAUGCGUAAUUUAUGCUAUUAAAACUGUCUUAAAGAGAUUUGUUUUUUUAAUAAAACACAUUAUGAAACUCA